CUACGUGCCAGCAGCCGCGGUAAUACGUAGGGGGCUAGCGUUAUCCGGAUUUACUGGGCGUAAAGGGUGCGUAGGUGGUCCUUCAAGUCGGUGGUUAAAGGCUACGGCUCAACCGUAGUAAGCCGCCGAAACUGGAGGACUUGAGUGCAGGAGAGGAAAGUGGAAUUCCCAGCGUAGCGGUGAAAUGCGUAGAUAUUGGGAGGAACACCAGUAGCGAAGGCGGCUUUCUGGACUGCAACUGACACUGAGGCACGAAAGCGUGGGUAGCAAACAGGAUUAGAUACCCUGGUAGUCCACGCUGUAAACGAUGAGUACUAGGUGUCGGGGGUUACCCCCCUCGGUGCCGCAGCUAACGCAUUAAGUACUCCGCCUGGGGAGUACGCACGCAAGUGUGAAACUCAAAGGAAUUGACGGGGACCCGCACAAGUAGCGGAGCAUGUGGUUUAAUUCGAAGCAACGCGAAGAACCUUACCUAAGCUUGACA
rnacentral:rRNA from 1 species